GACGAACGCUGGCGGCGUGCCUAAUACAUGCAAGUCGAACGAGAGCGACCGGUGCUUGCACUGGUCAAUCUAGUGGCGAACGGGUGAGUAACACGUGGGUAACCUGCCCAUCAGAGGGGGAUAACAUCCGGAAACGGAUGCUAAAACCGCAUAGGUCUUCGAGCCGCAUGGCUUGAAGAGGAAAAGAGGCGCAAGCUUCUGCUGAUGGAUGGACCCGCGGUGCAUUAGCUAGUUGGUGAGGUAACGGCUCACCAAGGCCGUGAUGCAUAGCCGACCUGAGAGGGUGAUCGGCAACAUUGGGACUGAGACACGGCCCAAACUCCUACGGGAGGCAGCAGUAGGGAAUCUUCCGCAGUGGACGCAAGUCUGACGGAGCAACGCCGCGUGAGUGAAGAAGGUUUUCGGAUCGUAAAACUCUGUUGUUAGAGAAGAACAAGUGCUAGAGUAACUGUUAGCGCCUUGACGGUAUCUAACCAGAAAGCCACGGCUAACUACGU
rnacentral:rRNA from 1 species